GUGGGGAAUAUUGGACAAUGGGCGCAAGCCUGAUCCAGCCAUGCCGCGUGAGUGAUGAAGGCCCUAGGGUUGUAAAGCUCUUUCACCGGUGAAGAUAAUGACUGUAGCCGGAGAAGAAGCCCCGGCUAACUUCGUGCCAGCAGCCGCGGUAAUACGAAGGGGGCUAGCGUUGCUCGGAUUUACUGGGCGUAAAGGGCGCGUAGGCGGACAUUUAAGUCAGGGGUGAAAGCCCAGGGCUCAACCUUGGAAUUGCCUUUGAUACUGGCUGUCUUGAGUUUGGGAGAGGUGAGUGGAACUCCGAGUGUAGAGGUGAAAUUCGUAGAUAUUGGGAAGAAUACCAGUGGCGAAGGCGAUUCUCUGGUCUGUCUCUGACGCUGAGGAGCGAAAGCGUGGGUAGCGAACGGGAUUAGAAACCCCUGUAGUCC
rnacentral:rRNA from 1 species